rnacentral:rRNA from 1 species
UACGUAGGGUGCAAGCGUUGUCCGGAAUUAUUGGGCGUAAAGAGCUCGUAGACGGUCUGUCGCGUCCGUUGUGAAAACUCGAGGCUCAACCUCGGGCUUGCAGUGGAUACGGGCAGACUAGAGUGCGGUAGGGGAGACUGGAAUUCCUGGUGUAGCGGUGGAAUGCGCAGAUAUCAGGAGGAACACCGAUGGCGAAGGCAGGUCUCUGGGCCGCAACUGACGCUGAGGAGCGAAAGCAUGGGGAGCGAACAGG